rnacentral:rRNA from 1 species
CCUACGGGGGGCAGCGGUGGGGAAUAUUGGACAAUGGGGGGAACCCUGAUCCAGCCAUGCCGCGUGUGUGAAGAAGGCCCUCGGGUUGUAAAGCACUUUCAGUGAAGAAGAACGCCUGGUGGUUAAUACCCAUCAGGAAAGACAUCACUCACAGAAGAAGCACCGGCUAACUCCGUGCCAGCAGCCGCGGUAAUACGGAGGGUGCGAGCGUUAAUCGGAAUUACUGGGCGUAAAGCGCGCGUAGGUGGCUUGAUAAGCCGGUUGUGAAAGCCCCGGGCUCAACCUGGGAACGGCAUCCGGAACUGUCAAGCUAGAGUGCAGGAGAGGAAGGUAGAAUUCCCGGUGUAGCGGUGAAAUGCGUAGAGAUCGGGAGGAAUACCAGUGGCGAAGGCGGCCUUCUGGACUGACACUGACACUGAGGUGCGAAAGCGUGGGUAGCAAACAGGAUUAGAUACCCCUGUAGUC